rnacentral:rRNA from 1 species
UACGGGGGGGAGCAAGCGUUGUUCGGAUUUACUGGGCGUAAAGAGCGUGUAGGCGGCCCGGUAAGUCCGCCGUGAAAGUCCAGGGCUCAACCCUGGAAUGCCGGUGGAAACUGCCGGGCUGGAGUCCGGAAGAGGCGAGUGGAAUUCCUGGUGUAGCGGUGAAAUGCGCAGAUAUCAGGAAGAACACCAACGGCGAAGGCAGCUCGCUGGGACGGUACUGACGCUGAGACGCGAAAGCGUGGGGAGCAAAC